AGGAGAAGUCAUGAAGUUUGUGUUCCUUUGGGACAAAAGAACUAAAAUGAUUCUCUGUGAAAGAAGCUGUAAAGACUCUCUACAAAAAAUCAGAGUGACUGUCAACCAUCUGUGCAAAUACACACCCACCAGAGAUAAUAAAGGUGCUUAGAGAAACAUAAAUGUAAAGUGGGCUCCCACAUCUAUAGAGGCAUUCAGAGCCUGAGAAAAGAGCUCCAACAAAUUUCACCUCUAGCAGCCUGAGUGGACUAUAACAGCUAUUCCUAAGGAAUAAUGCUACCGAUUAAUAAAGAUAGAAAAG
rnacentral:lncRNA from 1 species